rnacentral:rRNA from 1 species
UACGUAGGGGGCAAGCGUUGUCCGGAUUUAUUGGGCGUAAAGAGCGUGUAGGCGGCCGUACAGGUCAGCUGUGAAAACUCGAGGCUCAACCUCGAGACGUCGGUUGAAACCGUACGGCUAGAGUCCGGAAGAGGAGAGUGGAAUUCCCGGUGUAGCGGUGAAAUGCGCAGAUAUCGGGAAGAACACCCGUGGCGAAGGCGGCUCUCUGGGACGGUACUGACGCUGAGACGACGAAAAGCGUGGGGGAGCGAACAGG